rnacentral:tRNA from 1 species
GGGGAUUUAGCUCAGCGGUAGAGCGUUUGCCUAGCAAGCACAAGGCCCUGGGUUCGGUCCCCAGCUCCA